rnacentral:rRNA from 1 species
UACGGAGGGUGCGAGCGUUGUCCGGAAUCACUGGGCGUAAAGGGCGCGUAGGCGGCCUGAUAAGUAGGGGUGAAAUCCUGCGGCCUAACCGCAGGGCUGCCUUCUAAACUGUCGGGCUAGAGCACGGUAGAGGCAGAUGGAAUUCCCGGUGUAGCGGUGGAAUGCGUAGAGAUCGGGGAAGAACAUCAGUGGCGAAGGCGGUCUGCUGGGCCGUUGCUGACGCUGAGGCGCGACACGUGGGGAGGCAAACAGG